rnacentral:tRNA from 333 species
GCGGAUGUGGUGGAAUUGGUAGACACACUGGAUUUAGGUUCCAGCGCCGCAAGGUGUGAGAGUUCGAGUCUCUCCGUCCGCACCA